ACAGCAGCAUACUGCAUAUCAUUGAUGACAGUGUACAAACUGUAUAUCAACCAGAACGCCACAGUACAGCAGAGGGUUUCGGAUUUCAGUCAGCAGUCACCCAGAGUACAGUCUUUCCAAAACUGGUUACCAAGGCAACAAGGAAUCUUAAUCCAGCAACAAAAACCAUGCAUGUACAUCUCCAUAAUUUCUCAAUAUCUCCUCAUUAACCCCCAUGAUAUUUAGAGGUAAUACUACAUUCAAAAUACUCAAUUAACCUCUCCCAAAAGAAGAAGCCCAAGGAAAAUAGUGGUAAGAUAAAGAUGCACCCUUGAGGGGCAGCUCCUACACCCUGGCGGAGCACCUCUGUCAGAUAAGGAAGCAAACGAGGAGGAGGAGAUGUUUCGUGAAGUGCUGCAAUAGUCAGAUCAGGCGAAUAGUGAGCACAGAUUGUGGAGAGAUACAAUAAAUGAAAAACUAGAAAUGGUUAGCCAGGAGAGGAGACGGCCAGGAGCUGAUAAUAAAGGGUCAGGAGCAGAUAAUAAAGCUCAUGGAGGAACAAACAGAGAUGCUGAGGUCCCUUGAUUGCAUUGCAGGUGGAGCACAUGCAUGCUUGACUCCCCCUGCUACCCAUACAGAGCUGCCUUCCUUGCCCUCCCCAAACUCUCCACACACAUUCCUCUCACAUUCCUGGCCCAUCACAGUACCCCUUGCA